rnacentral:tRNA from 1 species
GUAAAGAUGCCAGAAAUUAUUUUAUGGGAUUAAUUUAGGUUUAAUUUAUGACUGGUAUUAGGUCUCUUUAUU